rnacentral:tRNA from 1 species
GCUGGUGAAGCGUGAACGGUUUACGCACGGCCCUCGUAACGCCGAGAAGUCGGUUCGACUCCGACCUCCAGCU